rnacentral:misc_RNA from 1 species
GGACGAGGGGCAAGCGAAGCGGCGAACUAGGACUGGGUCCAUCAUCAACGCCUUCAUCAGCUCUGUAGCAAGUUCUGAAAGACCUAGUAACAGUUGGAGGGCGAGAGCAGAGUCUGGGCGUAGUAGGUAAAUGGGUUUCGGGGAGUGUCCAUGGAGGCGGAAAUUGAAGGGAAUUUGAGAGUGGGUUGAAGGAGGUGGUUUGCAUAAGGGAGUGAAGUUUGUGGAAAGCGAAGGGAUG